GCUCAUAUUUUUGGAAAAAUAUUGAAUUGUGUUGUUGGUAAUAUAUUGGCUGACGUUUUUUGCAGACAUUGUUGGUCUAAUUGUGUAUUUGGGUCCACUUCAACACGUUUAUAAUCGCCUCUAUAGAGAGGUCACCCUCCUGAACACGAGAUGUAGGGAUUAGCCUUUGCAGUGAGGUCAACCGGGCAACGCAUGGUUGAUAACCAAAGGAGACGUGGUGCUCCAGUUGCAAGUUUUGGAUCAUGUUGAUCCGAAGCCGAAUCAUGUGUGUCAUGUUUCCACCAAAUCAAGAGGUAUCAAUACCUAUCGGAACAUCAGGACCUAAUUCCUCAUCAAUAGGCGGCCUUUUCGGCUGCAUCCAACAAAUAAAUCUGCCAAAACCCUAGAAACAUAUGGGAGAAAAGUUCAUAGUCGCACACCAUUAAAUUGAGUCUCAGAACACUUCAGUCAGUACUAAAGAAGGAUGAACCAUUGGACCAUGAUUGCUUCAACAUGUCUAUACGUAAGUUCAUGUAUGAAAGCAUCCAGACGGUUCAGAAAACCAAUGAAGCAAUAACAAAGCAUUGC